rnacentral:rRNA from 1 species
UACGUAGGGUGCAAGCGUUAAUCGGAAUUACUGGGCGUAAAGCGUGCGCAGGCGGUUAUGUAAGACAGGUGUGAAAUCCCCGGGCUUAACCUGGGAACUGCGUUUGAAACUGGGAGACUUGAGUGUGGCAGAGGGGGGUGGAAUUCCACGUGUAGCAGUGAAAUGCGUAGAUAUGUGGAGGAACACCGAUGGCGAAGGCAGCCCCCUGGGUUAACACUGACGCUCAUGCACGAAAGCGUGGGGAGCAAACAGG